CCGGCGACCAGCGCACGGGUGAGUAACACGUAUGGAACCUGCCCGCAGCAGGGGGAUAAGCGGAAGAAAUUCCGUCUAAUACCGCGUAACAACGUUGGGAGGCAUCUCCCGAUGUUUAAAGAUUUAUCGGCUGCGGAUGGCCAUGCGGCGCAUUAGCUAGUCGGCGGGGUAACGGCCCACCGAGGCGACGAUGCGUAGGGGUUCUGAGAGGAAGGUCCCCCACACUGGUACUGAGACACGGACCAGACUCCUACGGAAGGCAGCAG
rnacentral:rRNA from 1 species